CACUGCUUUGACUAUGAGGUUGAUUUGCUUUUGGCUGCUAAAUGUUCUGGUAUUAAGAAGCAGUCUAGUCUCUUAGGAAAAAAAAAAGGUUUGAACACACUGAGCCUUUCCUUCUCUCACAGAUCCACUGAGAAGUGCUUAAGUCAGAGGAAGCCAUAAGUAAAUAUGAAAAGAAAAUCAUCAGAAGAAAUGAAUUCUAAAUCUCUGGGGACAAUAUGACAAGCUCUCUAUCUGGCUCGCCAGCAUUUAUCAGAGUCAUCAACAUCCAGUGACAGGACAAAAGUCAAGAAGACUGAUAAUAGCCUGGGACACAGUGGAUGAUCUCGGCACCUUUAAUGUCUGACCAAGUUCUAAGCACUCCAUAGUUGCUGCUUGAAUCACCUUCAUGGCUCUUGGAACAAAGUGUUCUCAUCUACCCAUUCCACCAGAGGAAGUCGUCACAUGCUUGGGGUAGACCUCUCCCUAACUCACCAACAGGUACAAGGUCUAUUGGUUAUCCUGAACCUAAUUUAGUCCAUCUGCCAUCCAGGUAUGGCCACUAUACAUGCUACAGCUUCUUGGAACCACAGAUGAGAGUUGGGUGACAGGUGGGCACCAAAGGUGGAUGAGCAAUUCUAAAAAGGACUUGGCAAGCCCUCACACCAGAGGUAUGAACAGAUGAUGUACACAGAAUGACAUCUGUUUGGGUCAGGUCCCCUUUCCUAACUUCCUCAGUUCAUUGCUGCUUUCUCACAUGGCACACCAAGGAUUGAAGUGGUAGAAUCCAAACAAGUUGAUUUCAUUGCCAUGGCCAAUGAGAAUAAAGCACUAUAAAAAUA